GAUGAACGCUGGCGGCGUGCCUAAUACAUGCAAGUCGAGCGAACGGACGAGAAGCUUGCUUCUCUGAUGUUAGCGGCGGACGGGUGAGUAACACGUGGAUAACCUACCUAUAAGACUGGGAUAACUUCGGGAAACCGGAGCUAAUACCGGAUAAUAUUUUGAACCGCAUGGUUCAAAAGUGAAAGACAGUCUUGCUGUCACUUAUAGAUGGAUCCGCGCUGCAUUAGCUAGUUGGUAAGGUAACGGCUUACCAAGGCAACGAUGCAUAGCCGACCUGAGAGGGUGAUCGGCCACACUGGAACUGAGACACAGUCCAGACUCCUACGGGAGGCAGCAGUAGGGAAUCUUCCGCAAUGGGCGAAAGCCUGACGGAGCAACGCCGCGUGAGUGAUGAAGGUCUUCGGAUCGUAAAACUCUGUUAUUAGGGAAGAACAUAUGUGUAAGUAACUGUGCACAUCUUGACGGUACCUAAUCAGAAAGCCACGGCUAACUACGUG
rnacentral:rRNA from 1 species